UCUCCGUAGGUGAACCUGCGGAGGGAUCAUUACAGAGUUCAUGCCCUACCGGGUAGAUCUCCCACCCUAUGUUAUUAUUACUUUGUUGCUUUGGCGGGCCGUUAGGCUCCGGCCCGACUACCGGCCCCGGCUGGUAAGCGCCCGCCAGAGGACCCAAAACCCUGAAUAUUAGUGUCGUCUUAGUACUAUAUAAUAGUUAAAACUUUCAACAACGGAUCUCUUGGUUCUG
rnacentral:misc_RNA from 1 species